GGAGUUGGCACCCACACCACUCCAAAUUGCAGAAUUGGUCUGGGUGCCUGGAGUAUUCCUUUAACCGUAAGUCCCACAUGUAUAUAAUUACUCGAUAAUACUAAAUCCCCAUAGGGCAUCACCCUCCUGGAACAACACUUAGUAACAACAGGUUAGUCUUUAAGGAUCCUGAAUGAGGGGAGGGGGGAUAUCGGAGAUAAGCAUAAGGCUAUAUCCUACCGUGGCAGCUACAAUAUGUUAACACUGGCCGUUGAAUAUAAUGCUAUUCUUUGGCUGCAUU